rnacentral:lncRNA from 1 species
GAGAAAGGAAACAGAAAUCAUAAGCAAAGAGUUCGCACCGAUUAUUGAAAUAGUCAGUGUUCCCUCGGGCUGAGAAAAAGGGAAAGGCACUUUUACAGUGUCUUGGAAUAUUUUUCUUCUGCACAAUUCUGACUUUUCAGCACAUAUGCAUUCUACAGCAACAGAAGGAAAGAAAACAAAAAGGACUCAGAGGUUUUACAAUGAACCUUGCAGUGGGCAUACCAUGGAGCCAGACCACCAGCAGAGCAUUAAACAGGGACAGAUGUGAAUGCCAGGAUAAAAAUGAAGACAUUCCUGAAGUGGCGACCCUUGGAAAACACAUUCACAAGGAAGGAACGGGGAACCAGAGAAAGUCCAUUGCAAAAGGAUACCCGUGCAGGUGUGGGGAAAGUUCCAGGUCCUACAGAACUGCUGUUACUGCUGUUUUCAGCAUCAGCCAAAGCUUAAUUUCUCCUCUGUGA